AUGGAGAUCGAGGCGCUUGCCGGAGAGGACGGACGCUGGCUCGGGGAGCUUGAGAGCGUUGGGGUUAGACGAGGGGCGGGGCCCUCCAGGGGUGCGCUGGGGAGUCGGGCCGCGGGAGGACGGCGGCUCCACGCGGAGGCGGCGCUUGCGGCGGCGGCGCUCGGCGGAGGCGUCGGUGGGGGCAUCCGGGAGAUCGGUGGGGGUGGCGAGGCAGAGGAGACGGUGCUGGGAGCGGACGGGGAGGCGGAGGGAGAAGGGAAGGAGGCGGGAGAAGAGGGGCUUCGAGAGCGCCAUGGCGGCCACGGAGCACGACGGCGAGCCGACGAGGGUUUAGCUAGGGAUUUGGGGAUAUUUUCUCCUGGAAAUGGCAAAUGGCGAGAAGUCGAACACGAUAGGCUACUCUUCAGAGAGAAUACAAGCCCGUUACUGGUACGUGUGGGCUGGGCAAGAUCCCAUGAUGGGCUUGGGCUACAUGCCUUCGUCCGUGUCUUCCGCGCAUGA
rnacentral:rRNA from 1 species